rnacentral:lncRNA from 1 species
GCCGUGGAGUUGAAGCUGUCUUUCGAGGUCAGCUCGUGGUUCCUUUUACGUCUCGGAUUUCAGUAGCGGAUUUUGCUUUCAAUCUCACUGCUUGGUUUUAUGUUGAUUGUACCAUAUUCGAACAUCGAAGGAUAAUCGAAAUUUCAGUUUUCAGGUUCAUACCUCAUCCUCUACUGCUUUUAUAUGGAUCCAAGUACUAAGUUAAUCUAGUUUGAACGAUUUACCUUCUAUGCUUUGGAUGUUCUUAGAUUCCUUUACAUGUUGUAUCUUUCAAGGUCAGAUUUGUUUAGUUUAAGAUGACCGAGUCAUUGGCUGCAUUUUGUAAGUUUAUCUCGUUUGCUUGCUAAGUCUAGUUUGAAGCUGAUUUGAAGCUCUCUCUCUAGUGGUUAUUCAUCUUUGUCAAACUGGUUCAUCUGUUUGUGAAUGGUAAUCGAGUUUUAUUCUGUUUGGUUUGGUAUGCUUUGACCAAGGUCUAGAUGAUUGUGUUACUGUCAAGUGGAUCAUGGCCCGCUGAUGUGCUUUUCUUGAUGUUGGAGCAUAACCCUGUCCAUGUUUUAGUAGCUUGGAAAGUCAGUGAUUCUAGAUUGGGUUAAUGGUUUUGUUUCUUCUACAGUCACGACUUAAUGCAAGGUUAACUCGUGUGCUUGGUGUCACACCUCCUUUUUACCUAUAUCCCGCAAAGGGACGUAAAGGGAGUUUUUCCAAUUAAAGGACAAUCGAAAGGGGAUUUGUUUAUUUAUUUCAGAGUCGCCACUUGGGAGAUUUAUGGUAUCCCAAGUCACCAGUUUAAUCCCGAAUCGAGGAAAAGAAUGACUCUGUAUUACAGUCUGCGAACCAGAAAUCUGGAUAAGGAAUUCUGUUAAUCCGGGAGAAGGUGUUAGGCAUUCCC